rnacentral:rRNA from 1 species
UACCAGCUCUCCGAGUGGUAGGGAUGUUUAUUGGGCUUAAAGCGUCCGUAGCCGGCUUAGCAAGUCUCCUGUUAAAUUCAGCGACCUAAUCGUUGAGCCGCAGGAGAUACUACUAGGCUAGGAGGCGGGAGAGGUCAACGGUACUUCCGGGGUAGGGGUGAAAUCCUAUAAUCCCGGGAGGACCACCAGUGGCGAAGGCUGUUGACUAGAACGCGCUCGACGGUGAGGGACGAAAGCUGGGGGAGCGAACCGGAUUAGAUACCCGGGUAGUCCCAGCUGUAAACGAUGCGAGCUAGGUGUUGGGGUGGCUACGUGCCACUUCAGUGCCGCAGGGAAGCCAUUAAGCUUGCCGCCUGGGGAUACGGCCGCAAGGCUGAAACUUGAAGGAAUUGGCGGGGAGCACCACAAGGCGUGAAGCUUGCGGUUC